ACAGUGGUUCCCUCUCCUGCUGGGUGGCCCAAGAAACACCUCCUUCCUCUCAUCCCUCCAGCCCUGGGAGAAGCAGGAGCUGGAGUAACCAAUCUCUGCUCUUCCAGCAAUUCUAGCACUUUCUGACUAUAUCCUCUAUUGGAUUGUCUAGCAUAUGUUUAUGGAUACUGACUUGUACAGAAGCCAAUAUGUCUAAAAUUGAUAAAUGAAGAAAUAACAGAAAUUGUUGAGCCUUCCCUUGUCCACCUUUGCGACCCCCAAUCGGUCAGUGUGGGAGCCAAGACGAGGAGUCCCUCCAGGGAGACGGGAGAUGGGAGAGCCAACCCAAGCACCUGGCGGGUCAUCAGAACUGGCACAAGGAUCUCCUGAGGCUUGAGGAACAAUAAUCUGUCUGACGUCUGCGGCAGUUGUUUUCCUGAACGGCGCUAUAAUCCUCACCUGCUGUUAAGAGAAGAUGCCUGCUGUGUCUCCAAGCAUCUCUUCCUGAAUUCUGGGCAGGAAGCUAGAAGAUUCCUGAUUCUUCUUUUGAAAUUUUCUCUUCAUAUCUGGGAAAGGAAAAGCUCCUCCAGGAUCCUAUGGCUACCCUAGCUG